GCAAGUGCAUUACGAACCUUGUCGCCUUAAUGUUUGAUUGUGUGGCUUGUGUGCUUCUGGUGUGCUUCGUUGUUAAUUGGUAAUUUGACUCAAUAAUUUCCUUCUAAAAUUUAUUGGGCCGCGGGUUGGUAAAUUCCGAGCCAAUACUGCCGCAGGUUGGUAAACUCCGAGCCAACGCGCUGGUACUAAGUAAACACCAUGCAUGGGGCCCGGGCGUAGCACAUCUACAUUGUUGAGCACAUCACACUUAUUUAGAUAUUACGAUGUAGACAUGUAUGUUUCUUUACCUAUUAGUCGUAUUGUAUUAGUCACUUAAUCCAUGUUACCUUGUGAACAAAUAUAUUUGGCGUCUUCCGAUAUGCUGGGAUUUUGUGAA